UAGAAAUCAAAGAGGAGUUUAAAGAGAUCUUUGAGAUGAAAAUGCUAACUCUCUCACCAAUCAGCUCUGUGACCUUGGUCAAUUACAUAAUCUUUCAUAAGUAGAGUAAAAAGCAGAUUUUGUAAGAAUUAAAUAAUAUACUGUAGUGCAUGGCAUAUUUAAAACACUCAGUGAUGCAUGUUGUUUUGAGGGAGGAUGAAAUGUUGAGAACAGUUAAACAUGUUGGAGUAUGGGCAUGUGGAAGUAUUCAGGUAAAGGGGUUUGAACCCAAAGAAGUUAGUGUACAGGCUUAGGGAUGAGAAAGAAUCAUAAAAUUCACUAUUUUUGUGAAUUUUUUGAAGACUCUUUUGGGCACACAGAUGAAGAGAAAGCCAAUAUAAGAGGAAGUAGGAGAACUUCAAAAUAGUAUUUAGCUGAUAACAGUUCUUAGCAAUUUAUUUGCAAAACUUUCUGCCUCUGAAAGUAAUCUGGGUCAUACCUUUAGAAGUAGUUUGCUCAUUCAUGGCAUGGUUUAAGAUGCUAGUUCUGAUCAUUGGCGAUACCUGGUAUAUUUUGUUGAAAGUAUGCUAUUAAAGAAAAAUAAUGAGCUAUUUUUUUGUCUUCUCUGAAUCCUUAUGCAUCACGAAACAUAAUGUCAUUAAAGCAGCAACCACAUGGUGCUCACAUAGAGUUCUUUCUUUGAGAAAGUGAACCAUUAAGAGAAAGUAUAACUUUGCAUAGCCAGAGUCUAACAUACUGUCAUCACAUAAUUGAGCCUAAUGAAUAUUUUCUGAAUGCAUGAAUUAAUGAGUUAGAGUGAAUUAAUGAAUCUCCCAAGUUUUAAGUCCAUACUUUUAAUGAUCAGGGUCAAACAUAUUUAUUGAAGACUCUUUCAUACACAUCAUUGUCACUCUGCCAGUUAUGAAAUGUAUAAAAUAUUAUAUCACAAAAAUGAUCACUGUUAAAGAUGGUAAAAUUUUCAUAAAAAUGGUGCAUGCACUCCUUGCUGGUUGCAUUAUCAACUUAUAAUCCCUUUAGAAAGUAACAUGACCAUUUGUAGCAAAAAGUCAAAAAUUUAUUCAUACUCAUUGCUUUCAAAAUUCUUGUCUUAUGAAAACAUUUGAAGAGAAAUAAAACAAGAUCAACAUAAAAAUUAUUACAAUUGAUAAUACUAGCAAAAAGUUGGAGACAAAGUAAAAGUCCACAAAAUAAUUAUUUUAUAGAUUAUGAUACAUGAAAACAGUUUAAUAUUAUAAAGCUAUUAAAUUAUAAUUAGGUAGAAACAAUUAGGUAGAAACAUCAAGGUAUGUUUAUGAGACAAUACAUGUGAAAAUGAUAAAAUAUAAAAUACUAUGUAUGCCAUUAUUAUGAAACACUAUAAAUACAGUAUGUGGAUAUGGAUAAUAGGCAUAAAUAAAACCAGUAGUUGUGUCACGAUAAUAAGAUAACUGGUUUUCAUUUUAAAAACAUUUAUUUGUCUUAUAUAACCUUUCAAUACACUUCUAAAAAUUCUUAUUUUCUUUUAUAAAUAGAUACUGUGUAGUACCUUUUCUUUGGAUAAUUCUGUGUCUUUCUAGGGCCUGAGAUUCAUUAUGAGUUGCUCUCAGCAUUCCUGUACUGUAAUUUAGGAGUACAUAGAUAACUGGGUGAAAGGUGUAUAAUAUUGAUCUCUGGCUAUAUACUUUUAAGGUUGUUUGAAAAAAUAACUUCCCAAUAUACAUUCAAUUUCUUAUCUGGUUUGUUUUUCCUGAAAGCCAACUUAAGGUAGAAAGUCAAAGGCUUUUUAUCUUAUAGAUAUAAAUAUACAUGUAUCUUUGUUAAUCUGGAGGCAGCACAUUAAAAUAGAAAGACACACUUGGCUAACAGUUUGGAUCUGUUGCUUUUACAAAUGGGGGAACCCUGGGAGGCAGGUAAAUGAAGUGAUUUGGAUGGGGAUACAGUGCCAAUUAAUGGCAGAGCCAGGAUUAAAACGUACAGGUUUUGAGUAAGUUGAGAACUUUUCCACCCACCCCUCAUCCAGAAUGCUUUACCUAUCACGCGAACAUGAGUUGUCAGCUCCCUUCUAGCUUCAGAGUCCAUGAAGAUUUUUCUCUACACGCAGUGUUGCAUCUGUACUACAUUCCUAUGUCUGAGAAAAACAGGAGUUUCCAUCUCAGCCAGAAAUUGCUACUUUGUACGCAAUUGCACAGGUAAAUACUGGGUAAAUGCUGGCUCUUGGCAAGUCUUGUCUGCACAUUCUCACUGGUUGCAUCUCGUCAAAAUCAGGUGUUCUGCUUCUCAGCUCUGUAGCCGUCAUGUGUGUUCACUUAGCUACAGCAUUCCUAUCUGUCUUAGCCUCCUGUGUCUUCCCUCUCUACUAGCCACAGGCAGAAAUCCUGGUCACAGCAAGCUGCUCCCACUGGGGUAGCUUCCAAAAAUCCACAAAGAACAAAUUAGUGUUCCUGAUUUGCUUCAGAAACAAACAGCAAAGAAGCCUCUCCAACAUGCUUGAAAGAAACAAAUAAGAGAGAAAAAAUAGCUUCAAGGGAAAAAACCUACUGCUAUUCUUAAGGGGGCUCUAGGAGAAGACUUCAAAAAAGACAAAUGGUUGCUGAGGACUGUUUGCCCAUUAGCCUGUGGUGGGCCAAUUAGGCGGCACUGGAAGGGAGGAUGAGUGGGUAAAUUCAUUUGAGGGUUCUAUGGAGCCAGCCUUGAAACACAGAUGAUAAUAUCUAAUCUCUAAAUUGGUAUGUAGUUUGUCAAACCAGGCAUCUUUUAAGCAUGGCUUCCUCCUUUGCACCCAUUUGUUCUUGACCUUCUUAUUCCUUCCUUGGUGUUAAUAUGGUGACUAAGCCCUCUUGUUGUGUCUUGUCUCCUGUUUACAACCUUGUAGAAAAAUUUAUAAUUCUUCUAUAAUCAGAGCAAAAGGCAGUGAGUAAUUAAACUUUUUCGUCUCUUUGGAAAAAAUAUUUUAUUGCCUUUCUUCAAUAAUAUUCAUCAGAAACUUUGACAGUAAGUAUUAACUGAGCACCUACUAUGAAUUAGGCACUAGUGUAGCCAUCAUGGAAAGUCCAGAUCUGAUUAAUGCUUUGUCCUUGUCCUCAAGGAUUUCAUAGUGUGAAAAAGGGAUAGGAGACUUCCUGGGACCAGGUGCUGGUUUAGCCAGUCUUUCAAGCUACCUUUGUGUCAUUCCUCCUCUCACGGCUUCUGUGAGCCCAAGCAGUGUCUUUGGUGCAUGAGGCAACCAUCUAGGAAAGAAAAGCUCUAAAUCAGUGGCUCCCAAACUUGGGUCCUUGGAUCUGAAUCUCCAGAUGAACCUGUUGUGCUUUUGGAAACUAUCUAAUCUAGUAUGAAUCAGAGUAUCUUUGGGAAAGGUCUGUUUUAGAGAUUCUCUGUAGGUGAUUCUGAUACUUCAUUAGGUUUGGAAAUCACAGUGGAUGAGUCAAUAAUGGGCAAAAGGGAGUGAUGGUGGAAAUGGAUAAGGUAAAUUACUAUCUGCAGAUACCUACAAGUCAGUAUACACAAUGGUUAAGGAUUAUAACUUGUGGAGUCAUAUUGCUUGGGUUUAAAUUGUCUCUGUCACUUAGAGCUGUGAGAUUUGGGACAAGUUUUAAUCUCUAGCUAGUCUUUAGUUUCCACAGUUUGUUAAGUGAGAGAAAUAAUAUUACCUACCUCAGGGGAUUAUGAUGGGAUUAAAUGGGUUAGCCUCUUAAAACAGAACCACACUGAAGAUAAAGACAACAUGCCAUAAAUGUCACUACUGCUACUAUUGCUGCUGCUGCUACUGCUGCUGCUGCUAAUAUUAUUGCUACUGCUACUACUACUACUGGUUGUUGUUGUUUUUCUUCUUCCUAUUAUUAUUAUUAUUAUCAUGAGGAAGUUUAUGCUUAGAGUCUUAUACAAAAUAUAGGUGGGAAUUGAUAGGAGUUUAGCUCCUUUUAACCCCCCAAGUUAAAUAAAACAAAAUUCCAUUCCAUUCCAAGCUGGCUGCAGUGAUCUUGGGCUUUGUGGACCCAAUCCAUUUCAAGCUAGGGGCCGAGGCCCCUACCUCAGGGCUGCCUUGGGCACCACUCUCUUCCAGAAUUCUGACAUCAUAGUCCCACAGGGUCUGGUCUUUGCAGUUGAGUUUUCCUGCUGGUCUGGCUGUGACCUCAUUAACUUGGUCAAGAAGAGAACUGACAUUCUUCCUGUCAUUGAAGAUGCUUGGCGCAUAUACAGAUACCACACGAUUACUGCAAUGGUGGAUGUGAUCUUUGCAGAUCUCUGCCGAUGUGGCCCAGCCAAACCAGAUGGAGACUGUAGCCCUGAAUGGCCACACCUUUGUACACAGUGGAGAAUGCUUUGUCAUUCCCAUUAAGGCUAACUGCAUUGACUUCACACCCUCUGCAAAGGCCAUAUUUGCCUCUCAGGUGAAAGAGACACAGUAGUGGAACAUGAAGUCUCAGGAGGGGUUGACCUUAGAUCCUCAUGAAAAAGGCUACCCUGUGAUCAUAGAUGUGUAUGAAACACACCCCAAGGUGAACUGAAGCCCAGUACCAUCUGGAUUGGGAUAGAUUGUAUUAUUACUGUUACAUGCUACCAAUUGCUGCUAUUAGACUAGGUGAUUUUUGUACUUUUUAGAAACUUGUAGGCCGGUUUGUGUUUUCUGUGCCCAGUAAAUGGCUAAUACCUGGCCACCACACUCUCCACUACAAUAUGCUACCACACAUUUUAUUGUUUUUCCAUUUGAAUAUGUCAGAGGUGUUAGGAACAACAGGAAUUAUAAGGCAUAGAAGAAAUUUUUAAAUGUCUUUGUCUAUUUCUCAUCAUGGCCCUCAGUGGGCCCCAAAGUAAUAUUCAUGUGUAAAUAUAUUUGAUUCAGUCAGUAUUCUUUCUCUUAAUCACUGCUCAGAAGUUGGCGUGGACUGCUAGGAAGCACUCUGGCAUCAGAUUUAGAGAGUGAGUUCUCAACAAAGGGCUGCUCCUGAUCUCCAUAGCAGUCAUGGGCAUGCCAUGUAAUAUCUCUGGGUUUAUUAUCGUCAUUUAUAAAUGAGAUUGGGUUGAUAUCAAGGGUUACCAAAAGAGCAUUUCCCUUUAUCCUCAUGGUUUAAUUCACUCUGCUUCUGGUCCAAAUUUCAGUAGCAAUAAGGCAAAAAUACCUACCAAUAAGGAGGAUAAUUAAUUUCAGGAUGCUGAUUGGGCCACAGUCCUAACAUGUGUAUUUCUCCUUUUCACCUGCUUGUUCUUUGAUAUACUCACUGUCUUCUGUGGUAGCUGAGCCCAAGACCCUUCUAUUAUUGCUGACAGGUAGGAUUAUCUCAUGUUUCCCAAAGUAUCCUCUGUAUAGAGUAUUAAUUCAAUAAAAUAUUAAUAAAUCCAUCAGGAAAAUAUUUCCAUGAUAAAAAAGAUUCAGAAAUAAUAUAUUAAACAAAUUUAAACUGAUUUAUUUUUUUGAUCAUCAAAACCUGGAAUAUUCAAAAGUAUACUGUGAAUUAUCAGUAGGAGAAUAAAGUAAAAAAUACUUACAAAAUAUUUUGAUUAUGAAAUCCACACCUUCAAGAAAUAUCCCAAGUGGAGUUCCUACUGUGGUGCAGUGGGUUAAGAAUCAGACUGUAGCAGCUCAGGUCACUGUAGAGGUGCAGGUUUGAUCCCUGGCCCAGCUCAGUGGUUAAAGGAUUUAGUAUUGCUGUAGUUGUGGCAUAAGUAGCAGCCAUGGCUUAGAUUCAGUCCCUGGCCUGGGAACUUUCAUAUGCUGUGGGUGAGGGCAUAAAAUGAAAAAAAGGGAGGGAGUUCCCGUCGUGGCUCAGUGGUUAACAAAUCCGACUAGGAACCAUGGGUUUGUGGGUUCGAUCCCUGGCCUUGCUCAGUGGGCUAAAGAUCUGGCAUUGCCGUGAACUGUGGUGUAGGUUACAGAUGCGGUUUGGAUCCUACAUUGCUGUGGCUCUGGUGUAGGCCAGUGGCUACAGCUCUGAUUAGACCCCUUGCCUGGGUACCUCCAUAUGCCACAGGAGUGGCCCAAGAAAUGGCAAAAAGAC
rnacentral:lncRNA from 1 species